rnacentral:rRNA from 1 species
GACGAACGCUGGCGGCAUGCCUAAUACAUGCAAGUCGAGCGGAGUUGAUAGGAAGCUUGCUUCCUUGAUACUUAGCGGCGGACGGGUGAGUAACACGUAGGCAACCUGCCCUCAAGUUUGGGACAACUACCGGAAACGGUAGCUAAUACCGAAUAAUUGUUUUCUUCGCCUGAAGGAAACUGGAAAGACGGAGCAAUCUGUCACUUGGGGAUGGGCCUGCGGCGCAUUAGCUAGUUGGUGAGGUAACGGCUCACCAAGGCGACGAUGCGUAGCCGACCUGAGAGGGUGAUCGGCCACACUGGGACUGAGACACGGCCCAGACUCCUACGGGAGGCAGCAGUAGGGAAUCUUCCGCAAUGGGCGAAAGCCUGACGGAGCAAUGCCGCGUGAGUGAUGAAGGUUUUCGGAUCGUAAAG